GACGAACGCUGGCGGCGUGCCUAACACAUGCAAGUCGAACGAGAUCCAUGGGAGCUUGCUCCCGGAAGAUCUAGUGGCGAACGGGUGAGUAACACGUGAGAAACCUGCCCUGGAGUGGGGAAUAACUUGGGGAAACUCGAGCUAAUACCGCAUACCCUCGGAUGGUCGCAUGGCCGACCGAGGAAAGAUUUAUCGCUCUAGGAGGGUCUCGCGGCCUAUCAGCUAGUUGGUGGGGUAACGCCUACCAAGGCAACGACGGGUAGCUGGUUUGAGAGAACGAUCAGCCACACUGGGACUGAGACACGGCCCAGACUCCUACGGGAGGCAGCAGUGGGGAAUCUUGCGCAAUGGGCGAAAGCCUGACGCAGCAACGCCGCGUGCGGGAUGACGGCCUUCGUGGUUGUAAACCGCUUUCAGCAGGACGAAAUGACGGUACCUGCAGAAGAAGCCCGGCGUAACUACGUGCCAGCAGCCGCGGUAAU
rnacentral:rRNA from 1 species